rnacentral:rRNA from 1 species
UACGAAGGGGGCUAGCGUUGCUCGGAAUUACUGGGCGUAAAGCGCACGUAGGCGGUCUUUUAAGUCGGGGUGAAAUCCGUGGAGCUCAACUCCAGAACUGCCUUCGAUACUGAAAGACUUAGAGUCCGGGAGAGGUGAGUGGAACUGCGAGUGUAGAGGUGAAAUUCGUAGAUAUUCGCAAGAACACCAGUGGCGAAGGCGGCUCACUGGCCCGGUACU